GUUUAUUCGCACUCAAAGUGCGUUAUUCUCUCUGCAACUCGUCUCUCCUCUCUCUCAGUUAACUUUCUCCUGGUGGCAAGGAGCUUCUCGCUACAACCAGGGAAGAGGAUUCCCUUUCCCUCUCUAAAAUUAAUUUUGAAGGAGUGUCUCUCUCUAAAACCAGGCCAUGCAUGAUAGGAACUGGAAAUCACUUCCUAUAACAGGAUGAAAGGCUAUUAGCUAUCUGUUUCUGGUUCAUUCAGCUUGCGUAUUAAGCCUUGGCUUUUACGAAUCAUCAUUACCCCAUGU